UGUGUCCCGUUAAUCCACCCCGUUAAUCCACCCAGUCGGGCCUCCCGUUAACCGGCUGCCACCAACAACACAUUGUUGGAUGAGUUGAAGCUAUGCUCAACACAUUGCCAUGUUUCAUCGUAACUAACAAGACAUGUUUCUCUUUGUCUCUAAUCGUUAGGAAAGUAUGACCUGUAUUUAUAAUAAUGUUUGUCAAAAAACAGAAGCACGACAUUUUCAUCAAAGCUUCUGAAGAAAGUCUGUACUUUGUAGAUCAUAUGUAAUAACUAUCAUUUGUAAAAUGUUUUAGACUGCAGAGAUGAUCAACAGCCUGAAGAACAUCCUGCCUGUCCCGGGAAAAGAGAUGGAACAGCAGAUGUGUCUGGAAGAAGUCAUUCUGCCAGAGUGGAGGAUAUAAGGGAGACAGCCCUGCACCUCAAGAGCCGACAGACCAACAGAAUUCUGGAAAAUUAAGAAGAAUUGAGCAUGCUCUGUUGGCAGCCAAGUGGUGGCGGACCUGGCCUUUAAAGGAGAAAGUGCCCGAGGUGACGCUAAUGGACCGAGCAGAACCGCUAAAGGCCAGAGGAAAAAACAUGCGGAGAGGAAGAAGCUGAACGACUAUUUGAUUUCAACUUUGAACACCAAAGUGAUGACAACAUGUUUUGUGAAGAAUUCAUGGAGAAGGGCUCCAAGGUGGAGGGGUCAUUCAGCUCUGAUGAGAUGCUUCAUGAGAGUUCAUCCUCUUGUUUUACCUGUUGAGUUUUGUUUUAUUAAAUGUAUUUCAUAUUUACAAAUAUGAUCCGUGAAUCCUG